rnacentral:rRNA from 1 species
UACGGAGGGUGCAAGCGUUAAUCGGAAUUACUGGGCGUAAAGCGCGCGUAGGCGGUCUUGUAAGUCGGAUGUGAAAUCCCCGGGCUUAACCUGGGAACUGCAUUCGAUACUGCUCGACUAGAGUAUGGAAGAGGGAAGGGGAAUUCCGGGUGUAGCGGUGAAAUGCGUAGAUAUCCGGAGGAACACCAGUGGCGAAGGCGCCUUCCUGGGCCAAUACUGACGCUGAGGAGCGAAAGCGUGGGGAGCAAACAGG